AGUUACCUUCAUUAAUCAGGUUAGAGUCAGUAGCCAGGUUACAGUCGACAUGUAACCAAGUUACAGUCAGUAGCCAGGCUACAGUCAACAUGUAAUCAAGUUGAAGUUAG